rnacentral:rRNA from 1 species
AGAGUUUGAUCCUGGCUCAGGACGAACGCUGGCUGCGUGCUUAACACAUGCAAGUCGAACGCUGAAGCCCCAGCUUGCUGGGGUGGAUGAGUGGCGAACGGGUGAGUAACACGUGAGUAACCUGCCCCUGACUUCGGGAUAAGCCCGGGAAACUGGGUCUAAUACCGGAUACGACUGCCGGACGCAUGUCUGGUGGUGGAAAGUUUUUUCGGUUGGGGAUGGGCUCGCGGCCUAUCAGUUUGUUGGUGAGGUAAUGGCUCACCAAGACGACGACGGGUAGCCGGCCUGAGAGGGCGACCGGCCACACUGGGACUGAGACACGGCCCAGACUCCUACGGGAGGCAGCAGUGGGGAAUAUUGCACAAUGGGGGAAACCCUGAUGCAGCGACGCAGCGUGCGGGAUGACGGCCUUCGGGUUGUAAACCGCUUUCAGCAGGGAAGAAGCCUGCGGGUGACGGUACCUGCAGAAGAAGUACCGGCUAACUACGUGCCAGCAGCCGCGGUAAUACGUAGGGUACGAGCGUUGUCCGGAAUUAUUGGGCGUAAAGAGCUCGUAGGUGGUUGGUCACGUCUGCUGUGGAAACGCAACGCUUAACGUUGCGCGUGCAGUGGGUACGGGCUGACUAGAGUGCAGUAGGGGAGUCUGGAAUUCCUGGUGUAGCGGUGAAAUGCGCAGAUAUCAGGAGGAACACCGGUGGCGAAGGCGGGACUCUGGGCUGUAACUGACACUGAGGAGCGAAAGCAUGGGGAGCGAACAGGAUUAGAUACCCUGGUAGUCCAUGCCGUAAACGUUGGGCACUAGGUGUGGGGGGCAUUCCACGUUCUCCGCACCGUAGCUAACGCAUUAAGUGCCCCACCUGGGGAGUACGGUCGCAAGGCUAAAACUCAAAGGAAUUGACGGGGGCCCGCACAAGCGGCGGAGCAUGCGGAUUAAUUCGAUGCAACGCGAAGAACCUUACCAAGGCUUGACAUACACUGAACCGGUCUGGAAACAGUCCUUCCCCUUUGGGGUUGGUGUACAGGUGGUGCAUGGUUGUCGUCAGCUCGUGUCGUGAGAUGUUGGGUUAAGUCCCGCAACGAGCGCAACCCUCGUUCUAUGUUGCCAGCACGUGAUGGUGGGAACUCAUAGGAGACUGCCGGGGUCAACUCGGAGGAAGGUGGGGAUGACGUCAAAUCAUCAUGCCCUUUAUGUCUUGGGCUUCACGCAUGCUACAAUGGCUGGUACAGAGAGAGGCGAACCCGUGAGGGCAAGCGAAUCCCUUAAAGCCAGUCUCAGUUCGGAUCGUAGUCUGCAAUUCGACUACGUGAAGUCGGAGUCGCUAGUAAUCGCAGAUCAGCAACGCUGCGGUGAAUACGUUCCCGGGCCUUGUACACACCGCCCGUCAAGUCACGAAAGUCGGUAACACCCGAAGCCGGUGGCCUAACCCCUUGUGGGAGGGGGCCGUCUAAGGUGGGACUGGUGAUUGGGAAUAAGUCGUAACAAGGUAACC